UACAGAGGUCCCAAGCGUUGUUCGGAUUCACUGGGCGUAAAGGGUGCGUAGGCGGUCGGGUAAGUCUGAUGUGAAAUCUCACAGCUUAACUGUGAAACUGCAUUGGAUACUAUCCGGCUCGAGGAAUGGAGGGGAGACUGGAAUACUUGGUGUAGCAGUGAAAUGCGUAGAUAUCAAGUGGAACACCAGUGGCGAAGGCGAGUCUCUGGACAUUUCCUGACGCUGAGGCACGAAAGCCAGGGGAGCAAACGGG
rnacentral:rRNA from 2 species